UGAUGUGAGUCCUGUCCGUCUGUGGCAUCUAUCUCCUGUUGGUUGCCAGCGUGGAUUUGGUUGAUCUGCCUGGUGUCCCUUGCCCCUCUCACCACUUCCUGUGUGUCCCUCAAAGCGGUGUGUUUGGUUGAAGAGGAGGACCAGUCUUAGGCAGGGUCUGAGAAGAAGGUUUAUCC
rnacentral:snRNA from 1 species